UACAGAGGAGGCAAGCGUUGUUCGGAAUUACUGGGCGUAAAGGGCGCGUAGGCGGCCGCCUAAGUCAGACGUGAAAUCCCCAGGCUCAACCUGGGAACUGCGUCCGAUACUGGAUGGCUUGAAUCCGGGAGAGGGAUGCAGAAUUCCAGGUGUAGCGGUGAAAUGCGUAGAUAUCUGGAGGAAUACCGGUGGCGAAGGCGGCAUCCUGGACCGGCAUUGACGCUGAUGAGCGAAAGCUAGGGGAGCAAACGGG
rnacentral:rRNA from 1 species